rnacentral:rRNA from 1 species
AACCCUUGCCUUAGUUACCAGCACGUUAUGGUGGCACUCUAAGGAGACUGACCCGGUGGACAAACCGGAGGAAGGUGGGGAUGACGUCAAGUCAUCAUGGCCCUUACGGCCUGGGCUACACACGUGCUACAAUGGUCGGUACAAAGGGUUGCCAAGCCGCGAGGUGGAGCUAAUCCCAUAAAACCGAUCGUAGUCCGGAUCGCAGUCUGCAACUCGACUGCGUGAAGUCGGAAUCGCUAGUAAUCGUGAAUCAGAAUGUCACGGUGAAUACGUUCCCGGGCCUU